AGUGAACGCUGGCGGUAGGCCUAACACAUGCAAGUCGAACGGCAGCACAGUAAGAGCUUGCUCUUACGGGUGGCGAGUGGCGGACGGGUGAGGAAUACAUCGGAAUCUACUUUUUCGUGGGGGAUAACGUAGGGAAACUUACGCUCAUACCGCAUACGACCUACGGGUGAAAGCAGGGGAUCUUCGGACCUUGCGCGAUUGAAUGAGCCGAUGUCGGAUUAGCUAGUUGGCGGGGUAAAGGCCCACCAAGGCGACGAUCCGUAGCUGGUCUGAGAGGAUGGUCAGCCACACUGGAACUGAGACACGGUCCAGACUCCUACGGGAGGCAGCAGUGGGGAAUAUUGGACAAUGGGCGCAAGCCUGAUCCAGCCAUACCGCGUGGGUGAAGAAGGCCUUCGGGUUGUAAAGCCCUUUUGUUGGGAAAGAAAAGCAGCAGGUUAAUACCCCGCUGUUCUGACGGUACCCAAAGAAUAAGCACCGGCUAACUUCGUG
rnacentral:rRNA from 1 species